rnacentral:lncRNA from 1 species
AAAUUUAAGAGGAAAAUGGAUUUUUGCUUUUGUAAAAGAAAAAGAUUAUAAAAAUAUUUUUUAUUAAUAAUUAUUAUUAUAAAAAAGUCAACUUUAUUAUAAAUAAUACCUUUGGAAACAAAUGUCAAAGAGUCUCGAAUUAAAAUGUAUGGCCAAUUUUGAAAUGUUAAUUUUCAAAACAAAUUAGUCUCUUGGGUUUGGAGAAAAUUUAAUCCAAAUAGACUAUUAGUUAUAUGAACAUAACAAAUGUCAUUUUGGAAUAAAAUACUUAAUCUUUACAAGACUUGUUUUAAGGAGAAAAUCGAAGGAACCAAUAUAAUCUGCUUUAGACAAUUAAAUUAGGUGAAAAAAAUUAUGAAUUAAGUAAAAUAAAACUAAGAUAAAAUAAAUUGACAACAUCUUAGGAAAUUUACUUAGAUUAAUUGAUUAAAAUGUUAGUUAAUACAAAUAAACAAGUAUAAAUAAUAUAAAUACCAACCUUUUAAAAGUAAUUACACCCUCUCCCAUUUUUUAAUUACUUUACUCUCUCUCCAUAUUAAUAUACAUAACAAAACCGACAUAUGCAUAAAAUUCUGUGUAUAUGUGGAAUUUUUGUAAUAUGUUUAGAAAGUUGAGAUUUUUUGUAAUAUUUGAAAACAUAAGUUGCGUAUUUGUGUAACUUUUAGUAAGAAUUGAAGUUGGCCCUUGAUUGACCCAUCAAUAAAGCUGACCAGCUUUUGGGUUUUGAAUUAUGGACUUUGGGUCCACUUUCUGCAGUGUAUACUUUGUGUAUAUCAUCCCUACUUUUUCUGCGUUUUUCAAUAUAGACGUUGUAUAACAGAGUAUAAAACCCUGUAUACUUGCUCCCAGCUUCAUCAUGCAUCAUAUCUGGAUGUAUAUCAACCACCUUUUACCAGUAAAGCCCCCCUAUAUAUGGCAUAUAAGGGUGUAUACCAGAAGCUGUCCAUGGUAUAUUAAUCCAUUUUGUGGACUUGGUAUGGGUCUUGACUCGAUGCAAGUUGGGUUUGAUCCAGCGGAAUGCGAGAAAUGGGAGUCCGAGGGACUCGACGGAAGAGUUCAUGCAUAUAAAAGGGGUAAAGAUUAGUAUAUGAGAGAAUUACUCAAUUAAGAAUUUAAACGUGAUUAAAGGAUUCAAGCAAAAUUAUACACUCCAGACAUGACAACGAAAUAUCUAUAACAGUAAGGAUGAACUUUCAAAUCCAUUAGUGUCUCAAAGUGAUUAACUUACACAAAUGACAACAUUCAGAAUAGGAGGCAUUUUGGUUAUUUAUUAUUAAAAACAAAACAAAGAAUUCUACUCUACCUGUGUCAAUUCACAUGGGAAAAACUGAGGACCAAACAAGAUAUAGAUAGUAACGUUUUGCAUCUAUAAAGGCUACAACCCAUAACGGGUAAUACAACUCCAAAAUAUUGCAGCUCCUUCGACAUCAAAAUGAAGACCAAUUAUACAUCCACACUUUAUAGUCUAAAACAGAAUUUUUGAAACGGAAAUAGGCUAGCAUGAACCCCUUUUUUUUGGCUGCUCGUAUACAGGAAAGACAACCAUGUUGUUCACAACUUCAGCUCAUUUUAAAAAGCAAAUUCUUGUUCUUGCACAUGAAAAGUUUGAAGGAAAAAACAAGAGAAAAAGAUUGUUUAAAGAACAUUGGCCAAAGCUUCCGAAUACUGAAAAGAGCUUCAAUUUUGGAACCUUUUAUAAGUAUGAAAACGGUAAAACAAAAGCUUAAAAGCUUAGGAUGACAACCAACCAUGGCACAAAGCCACAAACCCGUUAAAAGCUUCACGCUUUUCAACACAUAUCAAAGAUGAAUUAUACUCUAAAUCCCAAAACAAACCAAACACGCAUAUUUUAAUACAAACCCAAAGCAAUAUAACAAGUCGUAUAACUUGUUACGCCCAGCAAAGAAUCGAAAUAACAACAAAGUAUUUGAUUUACGAUUAUAACUUCCAAAUAAAUUUUAAAAAAAAAAAGAGAGAAAGGUAGAGUAAAGAUGAUGAAUUUCGUACCGAUUUUGAAGCAGCAAAUUGGGAAUACGAGCUUAUCACGACGGGUUUUUACCACCAAAAAUCGACUUGGAUUUACCCAUGCUUGAAUCGGUCUUGCGGAAAUUCAGACUAUUUCAACAGAUUUAAGUGAAUUUUCACCCGUGAACUUCUUGAUUACGUGAAAUUAGAGAAAUGCUCCUCCAAAAUCCUUAAUUUUCUCCCCAAAAAGUUCCUCCUUCUUUCUCUCUACAUAGAUAGAUAUUUAUAGUGAAUUUUGAGGUUGUUUUAGAGAGAAAGAGGAGGGGUAAAGAAAGAAAAAUUAGUUGAGAUUUAAACUUCAAAAUUGAGAUAAGAUCUGAUCUGAAAUUGUAUGAAAUUCGGACGUUUGUUGUUGAUCUAUUUUUUGUCGUCCUUGGCUAUUUCUGUUAAGAGCAACUAUUGUUGUUGUCGCGUUAUUAAUGUUGUUGUCGUUUGCUGGUGUUGAAACGGGAUUGCGUUUGUACGCAGUUUCGAACAGCUUGUGCGCGUAUGUUAUUGUCGGUGUAUUGUUGUUGUCGUUAGCUGAUGAGUAAAGGGAUUAAGAGAAUAUGCAUGGGUUGAGUUUAGGCUGGAUGUUGGGCCUGGGGUUAUUGGGUUGUUCUUGUUGUUGGUGGGUCACUGAAAUGGGUUGGUUAAGGGUGUUAUGGGCUGGUGAUUAAUUAACUAGGAGGGAGGAUGGGUAUUUUU